GGGGUUGUGGCUCAGCCAUAGAGCACUUGCCUAGCACGUGAGAGGCCCUGGGUUCGAUCCUCAGCACCA
rnacentral:tRNA from 1 species